AUGAACGCUGGCGGCUUGCCUAAUACAUGCAAGUCGAGCGAACAGACGAGGAGCUUGCUCCUCUGACGUUAGCGGCGGACGGGUGAGUAACACGUGGAUAACCUACCUAUAAGACUGGGAUAACUUCGGGAAACCGGAGCUAAUACCGGAUAGUAUAUUGAACCGCAUGGUUCAAUAGUGAAAGACGGUUUUGCUGUCACUUAUAGAUGGAUCCGCGCCGCAUUAGCUAGUUGGUAAGGUAACGGCUUACCAAGGCAACGAUGCGUAGCCGACCUGAGAGGGUGAUCGGCCACACUGGAACUGAGACACGGUCCAGACUCCUACGGGAGGCAGCAGUAGGGAAUCUUCCGCAAUGGGCGAAAGCCUGACGGAGCAACGCCGCGUGAGUGAUGAAGGUCUUCGGAUCGUAAAACUCUGUUAUUAGGGAAGAACAAAUGUGUAAGUAACUAUGCACGUCUUGACGGUACCUAAUCAGAAAGCCACGGCUAACUACGUG
rnacentral:rRNA from 1 species